GGAGGCGGCGACGCCCCCCCGACUUGGACCGGCCCCGUGCCAGUCCUUGCCGCCUCCGCGCCUCAUUCUCGAUGAUGCCACCUUGAAGGCGACCCGGAUCGGGUCGCCU
rnacentral:sRNA from 1 species